UACGUAGGGUGCAAGCGUUAAUCGGAAUUACUGGGCGUAAAGCGUGCGCAGGCGGUUUUGUAAGUCUGUCGUGAAAUCCCCGGGCUCAACCUGGGAAUUGCGAUGGAGACUGCAAGGCUAGAAUCUGGCAGAGGGGGGUAGAAUUCCACGUGUAGCAGUGAAAUGCGUAGAGAUGUGGAGGAACACCGAUGGCGAAGGCAGCCCCCUGGGUCAAGAUUG
rnacentral:rRNA from 1 species